rnacentral:ncRNA from 1 species
UAGUUAUAGAAAAGAAGAGGUUAGUAUUCCCUUUGAUAAAGAUGGAAGAUCUCCUAGUGGCUUGUGAUAGAUACACAUGAUUAAGGCAUUGCCACGUAAUUUGUGGUCUUACAAGCGGUAUCUACAUUUUAC